GCCUGUGGUAAUUACCCGUACUGUGUGUUCUGUAAGACCAAAGGGCCAGGUUCUUCAGUGUUCUUUUUGCAGCAUUAUUUACCUUUGUAACCACCUAGAACAAAAUUUGAAUUGUACCCCAUAUUAGCUGUUCUCUGGAGGAUCAUUACUGAGCUGCAUGUCUUAACAGUCCUAAUCUGGUGCCAAAAGCCUGGGGGAACUACUGGAAAGUCACUGGUCUUCAGUCCAUGUUGGAAGUCUGAAGAAUCUCUGAUCUGGUGGCAGUGAAAGACAGCACCAAGUUGUAGCUAUGAUGGUAGCGCAAUAAGGUGGAUGAGAUAGCCAGAGGGGAUGCCAAGGCAAACAGGCAAAAAGCAAGAGUUUGACCUUGGACCUUCUUAUAUCUGGGCUGUUCCAGGAAUGAACCGCAUAGGUUCAGGGUGGGUUUUCCCUCAUCCCCGAGGAUAAUUGAACUGAGAUCACAGGUAUGCCCAGAGACUCAUAUCCUUCAUGAUUAUAGAUCCUGUUUGGUUUUUCUUCUUGCUGGGCGGAAUGGAAUAGGUUCCUUAUUCUUCCACUCCAUGGGCCACCCUCCAAAUGCUGAGGAACAGCUAUCAGGAGAACACAGACCCAGCAAAUCCCUGUUAAACCAGUUUGGCUGUGUGUAUGUGUGUGCUCAAUUUGCAGGCUUAAUUAAAAACUUGGAGAGAAGUCUCUGCCAGGCUACCACACACUUUGUAUCUGCCUUCCAGCUGCCUGGGGUCUGCUGUGCAGAUGGGCAGACCUGGGAAUACAGAGAAGGGGACUCUGGGAAGCCCUUUCUGCCAGUUUCAUUUGCAUCGCCACCCGCUUUAAUUAAAGCGAGUCCUCAGCGUGCACCAAGGGAUGCUUGCCUGCACUGCCACACCAAGCAGGCUCCCCAAGGGGGGCCAACAGAGAUCCACUGAGCUGACUGUGAGGCGGGCAAUGCCAGCAAGCUGAACUUGAACUCAAAGCACUUGUCUUGCUUAGCUUCCUGAAUGCUGGGAUUACAGGCAUGCACCAUCAGUUCGGGUGAGUUUAAUAUCUGCAUCAUAUCUGGUGUAUUAUGAGACUCAAUAGAUGUCCCAUAAAUUAGCCAAACAGAACUGAAUCCAUAUGUACAAAACUGAACUUUGAAAGCGUUCUUAGUGCAGCUGAAUGUGUCCUUGGGAACACUUCAGGAUGACCUCAUGCCAGUUGAAGAAUUU
rnacentral:lncRNA from 1 species